rnacentral:rRNA from 1 species
GACGAACGCUGGCGGCGUGCUUAACACAUGCAAGUCGAACGGUGAAGCGCCUUCCUUUUUGGUGGGUGUGGAUGAGUGGCGAACGGGUGAGUAACACGUGAGUAACCUGCCCCCUUCUUCUGGAUAACCGCAUGAAAGUGUGGCUAAUACGGGAUAUUCUGGGUCUGUCGCAUGAUGGGUCUGGGAAAGAUAUUGUUUCGGUGGGGGAUGGGCUCGCGGCCUAUCAGCUUGUUGGUGGGGUGAUGGCCUACCAAGGCGGUGACGGGUAGCCGGCCUGAGAGGGUGGACGGUCACACGGGGGCUGAGACACGGCCCAGACUCCUACGGGAGGCAGCAGUGGGGAAUAUUGCACAAUGGGCGCAAGCCUGAUGCAGCGACGCCGCGUGAGGGAUGGAGGCCUUCGGGUUGUGAACCUCUUUCGCCAGUGAAGCAGGCCUGCCUCGUUUGUGGGUGGGUUGACGGUAGCUGGAGAAGAAGCGCCGGCUAACUACGUG